AGGCGGGUAACUCAACGGUAGAGUAGCGCUCUUAUACAGCGUCUGUUGCGGGUUCAAGCCCCGCCCCGCCUACCA
rnacentral:tRNA from 2 species